rnacentral:rRNA from 1 species
UACGAAGGGGGCUAGCGUUGCUCGGAAUCACUGGGCGUAAAGGGUGCGUAGGCGGGUUUUUAAGUCAGAGGUGAAAUCCUGGAGCUCAACUCCAGAACUGCCUUUGAUACUGAAAGUCUUGAGUAUGGGAGAGGUGAGUGGAACUGCGAGUGUAGAGGUGAAAAUUCGUAGAUAUUCGCAAGAACACCAGUGGCGAAGGCGGCUCACUGGCCCAUUACUGACGCUGAGGCACGAAAAGCGUGGGGGAGCAAACAGG